rnacentral:rRNA from 1 species
UACGAAGGGGGCUAGCGUUGUUCGGAAUUACUGGGCGUAAAGCGUAUGCAGGCGGACUUUUAAGUCGGGGGUGAAAUCCCGAGGCUCAACCUCGGAACUGCCUUCGAUACUGGAAGUCUUGAGUCCGGGAGAGGUGAGUGGAACUCCGAGUGUAGAGGUGAAAUUCGUAGAUAUCGGGAGGAACACCAGUGGCGAAGGCGGAGACCUGGGGAGCUAUUGACGCUGAGGUGCGAAAGCGUGGGGAGCAAACAGG